rnacentral:rRNA from 1 species
CCCUAGUAACUGCGAGUGAAGCGGGAAAAGCUCAAAUUUAAAAUCUGGUGGUCUUCGGCCAUCCGAGUUGUAAUCUAGAGAAGUGUUACCCGCGUCGGACCGUGUACAAGUCUCCUGGAAUGGAGCGUCAUAGAGGGUGAGAAUCCCGUCUUUGACACGGACUACCGAGGCUUUGUGGUGCGCUCUCAAAGAGUCGAGUUGUUUGGGAAUGCAGCUCAAAAUGGGUGGUAAAUUCCAUCUAAAGCUAAAUAUUGGCGAGAGACCGAUAGCGAACAAGUACCGUGAGGGAAAGAUGAAAAGAACUUUGGAAAGAGAGUUAAACAGUACGUGAAAUUGCUAAAAGGGAAACGCUUGAAGUCAGUCGCGUUGGCCGGAAAUCAGCCUUGCUUUUGCUGGGUGUACUUUCUGGUUGACGGGCCAGCAUCAGUUUUGACCGGUGGAAAAAGUCUAGGGGAAUGUGGCAUCUUCGGAUGUGUUAUAGCCCUUGGUCGUAUACAUCGGUCGGGACUGAGGAACUCAGCACGCCGCAAGGUCGGGUCUUUGACCACGUUCGUGCUUAGGAUGCUGGCAUAAUGGCUUUAAUCGACCCGUCUUGAAACACGGACCAAGGAGUCUAACAUGCCUGCGAGUGUUUGGGUGGAAAACCCGGACGCGUAAUGAAAGUGAAAGUUGAGAUCCCUGUCAUGGGGAGCAUCGACGCCCGGACCAGAAGUUCUCUGACGGCCCUGCGGUAGAGCAUGUAUGUUGGGACCCGAAAGAUGGUGAACUAUGCCUGAAUAGGGUGAAGCCAGAGGAAACUCUGGUGGAGGCUCGUAGCGAUUCUGACGUGCAAAUCGAUCGUCAAAUUUGGGUAUAGGGGCGAAAGACUAAUCGAACCAUCUAG